CCAUUCCCAAGCUCAGUGAUUUACAGCACAAUCAUUUAUUCUUAUGCAGUUUGGCAGUCAACUGUGUUUCAGUUGACCUAGGAUUAGUUUGGGUGAUUCCUCUUCAGAUUGUGGAUCAAUUACCUCUGCACUAGGCUGUGAUUCGUUUUAUUUUGGGUUCUAGAUUGAAGGGAAUGUGUCUACCUAAGGCACAUGCCUCUCAGAAUAUAAAACCAGAUCGCAAGUCUAGCGACAAGAGAAAUAAUUCCUAAUAUUUCAAAGUCAGCUAAAACUUCAUUUUCCAGUGCCCCCUGGUCUAAUUCAGAAUUUUUCCUGCUGUUGAAUCAAGACAUUUCCUUGUUCUAUUCAACAACAACUAGUUAGGCUCAAUAAGUGGUGUGAUCUUGGCUCACGGAAACCUCCAUCUCCCGGGUUGAAGCAAUUCUGGCUCAACCUCUCAAGUAGCUGGGAUUACAGAUCACCUUACACAGUUCUACCUCACUCAGCUUCUGAGACUCACCUGAUACCUUCAACAGGCCACAGCCUUCCACUUGAAAAGGCUGUGCAACCCUAGGAAGGGUCUCUCAGCUUCCCUUCUC
rnacentral:lncRNA from 13 species